UUAAAUAAUUACAUGAAACAGGUUUAAUAUCCAGAAACUCCUUAUGAAGUCCUGAUGUUAUACACUCAGGGACAGUAGGUGGCGGCAUGCACCUAUCACGUUGGUUUGCAGCACGCUUUUACAAGAAAGGAAGAAGAAGAAGGGAGGAAAAAAAAGAAAAAGAAGAAGAACAUUCUUCAUUGCACUUCGAGUGACACGAGGCCGAACUUAACUGAUCUGAAUCUAUCCGCUAUUCUCGGUUUUUGCUCGAGAAUCUGUGCUUGUCAAUUGUGUAAGUUGUGUCGUUGGUCAGGUGGCUAUAUCGUGGUGUUAUUAAUAAAGAAUACAUUGUCAUUGCCGCGGGUCAGUGUUGACCCUGUAAUGAGCUAAAGCUAGAGGCCUAGCUGGCUACAUAGCUAACGUUAGCUAAGAUCGACGUUUUUCUGAGCUUUGUUUGGACUGAAAGGACUUUUGCCACCUUCCUUGCUAAAGAACUACUACGUUAGCCAAGUUAAAUUGCACACAAUGUUACAGUAGUCUCAGAUUUUGUAUGUUGUGUCACUUAACGCCAUUUAACGUCGCGGUUGUCGAUAGAAUGCUGGCGUUAUUAAUGGCGUCAAGAAUGCUGUGUAUUUGGUUAGCUUAGCUGAGGUGGCACUGCUCUUGAGUUACUUUGUAGCUUAAUGCACACAUGGUGGAUUUAACUACGCUUUUCUCAGUCAGUAGUGUUAGAUGGUGUGACAGCUAACGUUAGUCCCAUUGGCUUUUUGUUGAGGGAACCAGGACGAUGCUAACUUAGGAGUUGGCCUACAAAAAUACGUCAUCCCUGCAUGGCUCUAUAUGGUGUGGUAUCUGAUGACUAUGUGAAGCCAUGUUAUAGCUUGAUAAUUAAGUUGAAUUGCUAUUUGAUUGCACAUUAUUUAUUGUGGAUUUUGGUUCAGAGGUCUGGAACCAAGCUAUCCAUGUCACAAUGACGGAUUACCAUGUUGUGGAAAACCUUAAAGAAACAUACAAGUGACUUUGUACAAUCAGCCCAAUAAAUCCUAUGUACUUACAACUUGCUGACAACCAUUUUCCAGUGGGCUCAUUGUUUUCAGUUCAUUUUAGUACACUAUCAAAGUCACCUUGCAGAUAGUUGAAACAUAUUCAAUAUAGCUAAUCAUAAUGAAACACACGUCUGCACUGGUCUUUGUUGAAGUUACUCAAUUUUUUGAGUUUUAACAGUUAAAAUUGCGGAGUGAUUUGUGAAUCCUUCCUGGUGGUGCAUUUUAAAUGCUGAAGUGAAGGUCUGACUACAGAACUUCACAAUUCAGCUGCCACAUAGCAUUGUGUUCAUAAGAUAUGGUGUUUGAAAACUCAACAGAAUACAAAUAAUUAUCAAACAUGAGUGUUGUAAAAACUUGUAAUAAUUUUGACAGUUGUAUUGAAUGGUGAAUGUAAAUUAUUUUGCUGACUUUAGAGUGGAAGACAGUUUUGGCUACAUAACGGCACAAAAACGCACCAUUCCUCUACAUCGAAAUUCAGUGUGUUCUACCGUUGGAUCAUCAGGGCUGGAAGACCUGCAUACUAGUUAGUAAACAAAAAGUUGGCAAAGACGUAACUCUUAAAAGUAGUGAUGCUUUCUCAACAAAAUGUCAGUCAGCAAAUAUGAGGAGCUCGGACGAGAAGACGAUUACACUCUGCAGAACAACUGUUGUACUCUAUCAGUUUGCCCCAGAGUAUACAGAGAAGGAAAUGUUGCUGAUGUGAGCCAAGUGUGUCAGAGAACGGGCAAGAAGAGGGGACGCUAUCACCGUCGGAUUAAGAAGAACCCCAGCCUCUGGAACGAACAGCAGUGGUGUAGAUUGCCAAACUAUGCACUCCACAAGAGUGUUUUUGCUGCCAUGAAUGGAAUAUUCUGUUAGAGGAGUAAGAGCAAGGCAACAAUGGAGUGGAUGAACCGUUAUGAGUGUAUCCUGAUUUUGGCCCUCUCCUGCAAGCUGAUGAAUUUGUGCGUCCCUUGUAGCUUGUAUGUUUUGGUCAGAAACGUGGUGUGUUUCAUGGAGCAGAGUCUUUCCAAUCAGAACUACUCAAAGGUGGAAAAUCUGUGCUGCUAAUCGAUCCAACACGGAACUACACAGAAGGAAUGUGUUUCUCUGCCAUAGAAAUUAGUCCUAGGAUAAAAGAUUGUCUUAUGAGCAAAAUCAUAAUAACCAAGAGUUAUGAAUGUGGAUGUGUGUGUUUUGGCGGUUGAAGUACCUGAACAUUUAAUUUUGAAAACGUAAACAAUUUGGCAAAAUAUUACAAAAGCUAAAAUAUGGCUGCAUGCUUUGGGAAAUAACUGGCACUAAAAGGUCUAAGCAAAUGAGUUAUUUAGCUUAAACAUGCAAAACCAUUGGUAUCGUCCUUUACCGCACUGUGAAACUUGAGUAUUAAAGGGACAGAGGUGGGCUGCAAUUAGCACAGCCACACAGUUUUGACUGUCUCAGCAUUUGGUAAUGCAGUAUUUCUUGUUUAUAGUUCAAUGUUGUAAAUGUACAAUUUACAAAAUUAGAUAUGUAAUAACUGUUUUAAUUGUUACUUUAGUUGCUCUUUGGCUUGUGGUUCCUGCUUUGGUUGGAUUGUAGCUGGUGCUGAUGCGAUAACCUUGAUAUUGUCCUUGCUGCAUAGUAGCUAUGUCCCAGUUGAAGAACUGCCUUCUUUCAAGUCUGCAUUUCAAGACCAAAUUUAUGAUGGUUCAACAAGGCUGUCCUGUUCCGAAGGCCCCUCCAAAUGCAUCGGAAAAAUACUUGUUCAGACCUUGGAGUUAUUGAUCACUUUGUUGGCUGAAGAAGUGGAAAUACUUGGUGGUAAAUGUCUGACCUACCGUUGCGAUGGAUACCUGGAUGCAGCAUUAAUGUUGGGGAAGGGUCAUAAACAUAAUAUGAUGGCUACGGUGAAUCCUCUGCGGACUGUUGCAUUCUGGGAGAUGACACAUUUUCAGUCUAUUAGCCUUCAGCCAUGCGAAGGUUUCAACUUUAUCAGCUAUGUUGUUUUACUAAAGAAUUGGCCUUUAAAACAUUUAAUUUGCAAGAUGCAUAUUUGUUAAAUCAGUUAAGCCAGUUGUGGCUUUCAGAUCAACUUAAUUUACGACGUUAUUUGAAUUAUAUGUAAUGAAUUUGAAUAAUUAAGAUUUAAGUGUGUGAGCUGUGCGCAACAUUUUUCUAUUUAACAUAAUAUGGUUGGAGUCCCCCCCCCCCCAAAUGGUGUGACUGAUUGAAAGGGUCUCAUAAAAUUGACCUAGGGCGAAAAGGGAAAUGAUUGUCCCAUAUAGAUUGCAUUGCUUUGUGUAUUUUGACUUGCUGCCAUAUUGUCCUUUUUAAGCCAGCGUUGGACUGCAUUUUUGAAUGUACUGGUGAUGGUGCUGUGACAAUGGUGUUUUCAAAAGUGUCUGAUUAAUGAUGUUGUGGUAAAAGUAAAGAGUCUUGUGUGGAACUUGAUUGAAUAUACAGUAAAUAAGAUUUUGGUUGGAAUUGUUUGGAAUGUGAUUUGUAGUUCACAUUUUACUUCAUUAAUCUAGCUGCCAUUUCAAAAAAGGGCAGAUGCUUUAAGUUCAAUAUUGUGUGUUUGGGCUUUCCACUCCAGAGCGUGAACUACAGUGUAUGUUGAAUUGUUAAUGUUAACCUCACCAAUUGGAAUUUGUCUGUUUUUAAAAGCAGUUGUGGGCAUUGAUCGUAAUGGUGUCCCUGGUCUCUGACGUCCCAUCUCUCACAUUGCUAUUCUAUUUCAGUGGUGUUAUAUUGGUAUGCCAGGAAAUUGGCACUGAGCUAGAGAAGCUCAGUUGGCAAUAAUUCUAUUCUAUACCCUUCUGUCUGCAGGUGCUGUUGUUUGUGCUUCAGCAUGGCGGUCGUCAUCCGUUUACAGGGACUGAGAGUCACAGCAGGCUCUGAGGAUAUUCGCAAGUUCUUCACUGGCCUCAAAAUUCCAGAUGGAGGGGUGCAUAUCAUUGGUGGAGAGCGAGGUGAAGCUUUCAUUAUCUUUACUUCAGAUGAAGAUGCAAGAAGAGCCAUGACACGGUCAGGGGGUUGCAUUAAGGGUUCAUCUGUUACAUUGCUACUAAGUAGUAAAACAGAGAUGCAGAGCAUCCUUGAAAGAAGUACAAAAAAUGUAGAGCUAGAUCAAAAGAGGCGACUUGAGGAGAAUGCAAGACAUGCUAGAAGAUCUGUGGACUCUGAGGUGGGCAGGAGGUCAGGUAGCAGAUCGGUUCAUACCCCUCCUCCCCAGCACCAGAGGGCUUCAAACACUGAUGACUUCUUGUAUGUGUUUCUAAAAGGAAUGCCUUUCUCUGUGACUGAAGCGGAAGUCCGUGACUUUUUCAGUGGUUUACUUAUUGAUGAAAUAGUCUUGAUGAAAAAUGGAUAUGGUGCGAAGAAUGGGCAAGGUCUCGUCAAAUUUGCAACAAGAGAGGAUGCAUUUGAAGGCCUGAAGAGGGAUAGGAGAUAUAUUGGGUCAAGGUAUGUGGAGGUUUCCACAACAACAGCAGAAGAUUGGCGUCGGGCUACUGGUAACAUGUCAAUGGCUGUCAACACGUACGACAACUUUGAAAGGGAGCGAUCACCUAUUCGCAACCAGAGGAAACCACAACAUCGUUCAAGGUCACAAUCCCCUUUGGCCCAGAGGCCCGUUGUACCUUCCGAUGAUGAGUACUGCGUUUUGUUAGACAAUCUGUCGUAUGCAGUGGAAAAAGACGACAUAAAAAAGCUUUUUCGUAAUGCAAAGCUUGAGGAUGACCAGAUCCUGCACUUAAUUGGCAGUGAUGGGAGAAGAACUAGAUCCACAUUUGUGCUGUUCAAGAGUCUGCGUGACUAUUGUGAUGCCUUAACUCAUGAAAAAAGACAGUUUCUCAACCGAUGGAUUUAUACCCGCCCAAUCUCAAGAGAGAAAAUGAUCCCCCUUCUGAAAUCUCAGAGCAUGAAUGUGAGACCUUCUGGAAACUCUGAAAGGUUUGAGGAGAGGUCUCCAUCUCACCCCAGUGAUGCUUAUGACGGUGAGAAAAUGUGUCUGUUUGUGCGGAACCUGCCAUUUGAUGUACGUAAAGUUGAGAUCGUGGACUUCUUCCAUGGGUUUAAUAUCACAGAGGACAAGGUGUUUGUGCUACGUGACCAUAAAGGUGCUGGGAUUGGGAAGGCUUUGGUUCUCUUCCGGUCUGAGGCAGAGGCUACGAGUGUACUCUCUCUCAAUGGACGAAGGUUUCUUGGGUCAGAAGUCAUACUGAAAUGCAUUUCACGUUCUCAGAUGCGGCAGUUGGGUGUUGAGCCUCCAAUGGUACAAGAGCCACUGCCAAGAGAGGAGCAGUACUCAGGCAGGAGCAGCGAGGCACCCUGUCGCCUUGGUGACACUGAGUACCCUCACUUUAGGAUUCCUCAUGAUGGUAAAAUACCAAUGACUAAUGUACAGGCUCAAAUCCAUGGAGGCUGUGAUUAUGAGCCUUAUGCUCCACAAGACAGAGGUAAUGGCGUUCGUGGUGGAUUUGGUGCCUCAGUGCAGAAUUUUGAUGGUCAUACCUGUGUACAGCUAGUUAAUUUACCAUUCCAAAUCAGAAGUGAAGAAAUCUAUGACUUUUGCUAUGGAUAUCGCAUUAUCCCUGGAUCUGUCUCACUGCAGUAUGACCAGAGGGGAAAACCUAAAGGAUCUGCGACUGCAGUAUUUGAGUCCCGUCAGGAGGCGUUAACAGCGGUUGCGGAACUGAGUGGAAGACCAAUAGGUCCAAGAAAAAUACAGCUACUACUUGUAUGAAAGUGACGUUGCUUUUCAUGGCACCCAACAUGCCCUAUCAGUGCGGUUUGGACAUACAAUGUUUAUUGAAGCAAAUUUGAUUUAAGGGAAGCGAUGCCUUUUCUUUCUUUUUCAUUCAUGUGGCGUGGCUUUAUAUGAUUGUGAUUACAGUGAAUUUAGCUAUAUAGGUUUUCUUGUAACUGCAUUUUUAAAAAAAUAUUAGGCAAUAUAGUCUGUUGACUAAAUAUAGGUAUUGUAUGCAAUGCUCAUCUUAAAGUGAAAUACUAGAUUUUUGGUUUACUCAUUUAAAUAUUUUUGUUUAAUUAAAAUUGCAACACAAUGUUUUAAAAAUGUAUGUACAUUUAAUUUUACUGUGAUUAUUGUGAAAAGUGUGGUUUUUAUAAAAACAUACCUUUUGAGUUGUCAGUUUUUCUUCACAGAUCUGUCAGUGCAUACAAAUUUUGCUUGCUAACAUAAACCUUAUGUAUAUAAAGUGCAGGUAAAUCAGUUACUGAUAACCUUCUGUAUUCAUGAUUGAAUAUUAAGUUGGGAUAUUAAGUAUUUGCUUUUUAUAAUCAUCAGUCCAAGAGUAAGACUUGUAUAAGGACAUAAUCACUAGGGAGAGGAGAAGUGACCACUGUGAGAAUCUGAUGUGUAUUUCAAAUAUUGAGCUUACCCCUUUCCUCUGAUAUAAAAAUUCAACACCAGCGACAGGUGUAGCAUCCUCUUUGGCUGCUGUUGAGAUGGAGUUUGACAGUGAAAACCACACUGAUGCCAAAACAUACAUGAUUGUUCCUCUUCUUUGGGUGUACAGCAGAGAUAAAAACACAAACAGUAAUAAACCUAACAAAAUUUAACACGUAGUGGCACUCUUUAAUCUAUAGUUGAUUUAGGUGCUCAGUAUAUCAGUUCAUAGUGUACUGUUUGAGUUUUAACAUUUUAGCUGUCUCUGAAAGGUCUAAGUUCUUGGACACCCCCCACCCCCAAAGGAAAAAAAAUAGGUGCAAAAUUCAUUCUACAGCAGGGACCUCAGCACUCUUAUCAAAAAGCUACACAGUAUGUUUUGUUGUAAUUAUAUUGUAACAGACUUGGUGAAUUUUAAACCAUUUCCUACUCUCAAAAAAUAAAAAUGGAACUUUUGUGGCAACAUUUCUGACUAUCAUACCUUCCCAAUGACAUGUUGAAAUAAAGAAAAAAAGCCAAAAAAAAUUCUUUAAUGUACAAUAUCGAAUAUAAGCCACACGUACCCAUGUGUGCUUAUUUGGCAACAUUUGUAAGCUAUUCCCUCUGGUCUGCUGAUACUGACAUUGUUAUGAUCUUACAAAAAAAUAUCAAGCUUUUAUUUUGAAAGUUUUUUGACCGGAAGUUAUGGUUUGCUUUGACUAGCAUGACACCGGUUGAAGUGAGCAGGCUAAAAACCACGCUGAGGGAAUUUUAUAGAACUACAGAAUGGAGGUAUCAAGGAGAAGAAUCCUCCAGAAACAUCUGGAGCCUGCGAGACCCCUGCGCCGCUCCCUCCAUGUUGACAUUGAGCCCAAAAUAAAUGCUGCUACAUGUGCACAGGCACUGAUGGAGGAAGUGGAUCAAGAGUCAAAUGUUGGCAUAGAGCAGUUCUACAAGAUUGUCAACCUCCACAAACAGAAAGAAGGCAGAAUAUCUUACACAAGAGAUUUUUUAAUUGGACUGGCAAGUUGUCCUGAGGCCAGGAAGAAGCCGGAAUUCUUGCCAGAGCACCCCAUAGUCUUAACCGAGGCAAGAGACAUUGAGCACCUAAGGCCUCAUGAAAUGAGAUGGAAUGGGGGAAAAGAAGAAAUGGUGACAGAAAAGCUUCACUCACCUUAAGACAUUUGCACAGGUGUUCACUACCCAAAGAGUGUUUUUGUUGUUGUGUUUUCUUAGUUCUUGUCUUGGUGAAUUUAAUUUAACUUUUUAAACUAACGUUUAAAUUUGCAUGUUUAUUAUUUUGAAUGAGACUGAUAACAGUUUGAGGUGAAGUUGCACAAAGUCAUAACACUAUACACCACUUUAUUUGCUCAAGUGUGAGUAUUGCAUUUUUUGCUUACAUUUUUCUGCUGUGUACGAUUUUUGGCAUGAGUGAAGUAUUUAUAUUUUGUAAAAAUGUUUGAAACAUAAGAUAUUGAUGGCUGUGAUGGUAAUGUUUCGUUUAAAGAAACUGAGGGGAAAAUGCCAUUUAAUGCAGACUCAUCAUCACUCAUCAUAUUAGAGUCAUAAAAGAAACCGUAUCUUAAGUGAUAGUGGUCAAAAAGAUGUUUGUCAUCAGCAUUGUGAUUUAACAUGUCUUACUAAACAUGUUAACUUCUUCUCUUAUAAAGGACAGUUUGGCUCAACA